rnacentral:rRNA from 1 species
GAUGAACGCUGGCGGCGUGCCUAAUACAUGCAAGUCGAGCGAACGGACUAGAAGCUUGCUUCUCUGAUGUUAGCGGCGGACGGGUGAGUAACACGUGGAUAACCUACCUAUAAGACUGGGAUAACUUCGGGAAACCGUAGCUAAUACCGGAUAAUAUUUUGAACCGCAUGGUUCAAAAGUGAAAGACGGUCUUGCUGUCACUUAUAGAUGGAUCCGCGCUGCAUUAGCUAGUUGGUAAGGUAACGGCUUACCAAGGCAACGAUGCAUAGCCGACCUGAGAGGGUGAUCGGCCACACUGGAACUGAGACACGGUCCAGACUCCUACGGGAGGCAGCAGUAGGGAAUCUUCCACAAUGGGCGAAAGCCUGACGGAGCAACGCCGCGUGAGUGAUGAAGGUCUUCGGAUCGUAAAACUCUGUUAUUAGGGAAGAACAUAUGUGUAAGUAACUGUGCACAUCUUGACGGUACCUAAUCAGAAAGCCACGGCUAACUACGUG